rnacentral:lncRNA from 9 species
UAAUCAUUAUCAAGAUGCUUUGGAAAGAGCAGGCUCCACCGCCAUAAGCAGCGGCAGUGACACUGGGUUCCCGACAAUGCUGGGGGCACAAGGCUGUUCUGCUCUUUCUCCGCAUCCCUGGGGCUGCCAGAACAUUCCUGACCCGGCGGCCACCCCGGUACAGAUCGCGUGGAAGGAUAUCAUCACGGAGAAUUUCCGCCGAUGCCCUAGGGGUUUACACCUUCAGGGCCCCCGGAGGGCGGAAGAAAUGGAUGAAGCGGACCAGAUGUUUCUCGGAAACACGUGGAGUUGAAGGAGCUUGGGAAUUAGAGUUCUUUCUUUUCAAAUUCCUUGUCUUGGACACAUUGAGCGUGCUAAGUAGUAAUACACCCGACAGGCAGAAUCCGACCCAGGGGAGUUCUGUUAAGACUGGGAAGUCGGCUUCUGUGCAAGAAGCACGUGCUCUUUCCACCGCCUUUGGUGCCUGCCGGGAGGUCGGCUGCAGACAGCGGUCUCUCUGGCCCAGACAGUCUCAGGACAGGUCAGAAUCCUCCAGCCCACACCCGGGGCAGACUUGUCCUACCUUGACCCUGGAGCAACCCCUCCUUGGAACAUCAGAGAGUCUGUGCAGUCCUUGGUGCACUCUGAAGACAUUUAUUGCACCUUACUCUGCCUUGAGCCCACGCCCUGCUUGAGGAUACGUUCCUGGGGAGCUUAGUCCCUGCAGGUACCAACCAGUGAAUGCAUGGAUGAAUGAGUGAAUGCAUCCUUCACUCGCCACAACUCUGAUGUGACAUGUUCUCUUUUGUGAGGCCUUUCUGGGCUCCUUCUCCUGUCUCUCAACCCUUAGGGUGCUGUCCUCUCUAGAACUGGCCAGUCCAAUCUAAACUCCUCCUUCCCACUCUCUCUCUUUGGCCAUCAGAGGUAGAAGCAGGGGAGCCUGUGCAGAAGUGCAUCAGACAUAGUCCUGGCCUCAAGGAUGUAGGUGGAGGGCGUUCCAAUUAGUGGGACCGCAGAAGUGAGUCUGACUAGGAACCAUGAGGUUGCAGGUUCGAUCCCUGGUCUCGCUCAGUGGGUCAAGGAUCUAGCGUGGCCGUGAGCUGUGGUGCAGGUUGCAGACGUGCCCCAGAUGUGGCAUUGCGGUGGCUGUGGUGUGGGCUGGCAGCUGCAACUCUGAUUCGACCCCUAGCCUGGGGACCUCCAUAUGCCAUGGGUGUGGCCCUAAAAACAAAGAAUGUAGGUGGAAAAGCAGCAAACCAUACCCCAAGCUGUGGGAAAAGGCUUUCCAGGAAGGGGGACAUUGUUGGACCUCUCUGGUUUAAUGUUUAGUGUGACUCUUGGAAGCGGA